rnacentral:rRNA from 1 species
CACGAGCGGCGAACGGGUGAGUAACACGUGGGUGAUCUGCCCUGCACUCUGGGAUAAGCCUGGGAAACUGGGUCUAAUACCGGAUAUGACUACAGCAUGCAUGUGUUGUGGUGGAAAGAUUAUCGGUGCAGGAUGGGCCCGCGGCCUAUCAGCUUGUUGGUGGGGUAAUGGCCUACCAAGGCGACGACGGGUAGCCGACCUGAGAGGGUGACCGGCCACACUGGGACUGAGACACGGCCCAG